rnacentral:lncRNA from 1 species
CACAGUCAAGUUCCAUUUGAUCAACCUAUCUUUAGUAGGAAGCCUGUUUUGUAGAAGCGAGCACAGGUUGAAAAGUGCUUUAGGUCGAGCAGGAUUCUGCAUGGUUAAGUUCUUUCAAGGGACUCUAGGUGCCUCUCCAAUCUGUUUAAGAUAGAGCUUUCUUAUAGAACCAUCAGAUUUAUGUAACAAUUGAUAUUGCUGCAAUAGAACAGUGCCUUCAAUGAUCUUCCGAACCAUCCAACUAGCUUGAUUACUUAAUCAGUUGAUUGUCUCAAAUAGUCAAAUUCUCGAUUCUUUAUAGUUUGGAAAAGAUUUUUUUACAAUUCACUGUGAAAGUUUCAGUUGUGCAUGUGCACUGUUAGUAUUAAAUCAAAAUCGUACCGAACCAAAUUAAGAAAUAUCUAACCGUACCGAAAUAUUUUGGUAUGGUAUUUGAUAUACACAAUUGAUAAAUCGAAUACCGAAAUACCGAACCGAAAUACUUAAAUACAGAAUCGAAACACUAAUUCCCACCCCUAUAGUGUGUUAGAUAAAUAUCUCGUAUCAGCAUAAACAACAAGAUCGGAAUUGCAAUCAUUGCAGUAAAAUAAGCCCACAUCGGUACUACAUUUUAGAUAACGCAAUAUGUGUUUGACUUCAAAUGUUUCCUUGUAAGAUCAUAGCUAUAUCUUGCUAAGAUGCAGAGGCGGAUCUAGGAAUUGAAGUAUAUGGGUUCCUAGUUCAUACCACAAUUUUAAGUAAAUACAUCAGCCCGGAAACUCAUACCUAUAACUGUAGAUCCGCCCAUGUAGGUGUGAUGAUUGAGAAGAAUUGACAUUAUUAUUAACCACUGGACAUGAACGAGAACUAGAAAUAGAACCUGAAGAGGUUUGCGACUUGAAGAAUCUCUUGAUCAUCUUGACUCUUACUAAAAUAUC